rnacentral:rRNA from 1 species
AUUGAACGCUGGCGGCAUGCCUUACACAUGCAAGUCGAACGGUAACGCGGGGCAACCUGGCGACGAGUGGCGAACGGGUGAGUAAUGUAUCGGAACGUGCCCAGUUGUGGGGGAUAACUGCUCGAAAGAGCAGCUAAUACCGCAUACGACCUGAGGGUGAAAGCGGGGGAUCGCAAGACCUCGCGCAAUUGGAGCGGCCGAUAUCAGAUUAGGUAGUUGGUGGGGUAAAGGCUCACCAAGCCAACGAUCUGUAGCUGGUCUGAGAGGACGACCAGCCACACUGGAACUGAGACACGGUCCAGACUCCUACGGGAGGCAGCAGUGGGGAAUUUUGGACAAUGGACGCAAGUCUGAUCCAGCCAUUCCGCGUGCAGGAUGAAGGCCCUCGGGUUGUAAACUGCUUUUGUACGGAACGAAAAGGUUUCUAUUAAUACUAGGGGCUCAUGACGGUACUGUAAGAAUAAGCACCGGCUAACUACGUGCCAGCAGCCG